rnacentral:rRNA from 1 species
UACGUAGGGUGCUAGCGUUGUCCGGAUUUAUUGGGCGUAAAGGGCUCGUAGGCGGCGUGUCUCGUCGGGAGUGAAAGCCCGCUGCUUAACGGCGGGUUGGCUUCCGGUACGGGCAUCGCUGGAGUGCGGCAGGGGAGACUGGAAUUCCUGGUGUAGCGGUGGAAUGCGCAGAUAUCAGGAGGAACACCGGUGGCGAAGGCGGGUCUCUGGGCCGAUACUGACGCUGAGGAGCGAAAGCGUGGGGAGCGAACAGG